rnacentral:rRNA from 1 species
AACGAACGCUGGCGGCGUGCCUAAUACAUGCAAGUCGAGCGGACAGAAGGGAGCUUGCUCCCGGAAGUUAGCGGCGGACGGGUGAGUAACACGUGGGCAACCUACCCUGUAGAUCGGGAUAACAUCGAGAAAUCGGUGCUAAUACCGGAUAAUCAUUUGAAGUGCAUGCUUCGAAUGUAAAAGAUGGCUCCGGCUAUCACUACGGGAUGGGCCCGCGGCGCAUUAGCUAGUUGGUAAGGUAAUGGCUUACCAAGGCAACGAUGCGUAGCCGACCUGGGAGGGUGAUCGGCCACACUGGGACUGAGACACGGCCCAGACUCCUACGGGAGGCAGCAGUAGGGAAUCUUCCGCAAUGGACGAAAGUCUGACGGAGCAACGCCGCGUGAGUGAUGAAGGUUUUCGGAUCGUAAAGCUCUGUUGUUAGGGAAGAACAAGUGCCGUUUGAAUAAGGCGGCACCUUGACGGUACCUAACCAGAAAGCCACGGCUAACUACGUGCCAGCAGCCGCAGUAAAAC